UUUUAUUUAGUUGGUUAAUUUAUUGUCAUAAUGAAAAGACGAGUUUUUUUUUUUUUUUUUAAUGAUGAAUCUUCAUACAUCCUCAUUCACCUUGUUUCCUGUAUUCACAGUAACCAUCAGAGUAACUGUCUGCUGUUUGAACCUCAGUUAAAUAUUAUUGGAAAAAAAAUGGAACUACAUUCUGGUGGAGUGAAGAAAAUUAAUAAAGUUAAGGACAGAAAAUAUAAUGAAAAACUCUCACAAGUCUUUGAGGCUGCACCCAACACCUGA
rnacentral:lncRNA from 1 species